rnacentral:rRNA from 1 species
AGCAGCCGCGGUAAUUCCAGCUCCAAUAGCGCAUAUUAAAGUUGUUGCAGUUAAAAAGCUCGUAGUUGAAUUUCGGGAUCAAUAUAUCGGUCGUGCCAUCGGUACGUACUGGUAUGAUUGGUUUCUCCUUUCUGACGAACCAUGAUGUCAUUAAUUUGGUGUCAUGGGAAGUUAGGACUGUUACUUUGAAAAAAUUAGAGUGUUUAAAGCAGGCUUUAGCUUGAAUACAUUAGCAUGGAAUAAUGAAAUAGGACGUUCGAACCUAUUUUGUUGGUUUCUAGGAUCAACGUAAUGAUUAAUAGGGAUAGUUGGGGGCAUUAGUAUUCAAUUGUCAGAGGUGAAAUUCUUGGAUUUAUUGAAGACUAACUACUGCGAAAGCAUUUGCCAAGGAUGUUUUCAUUAAUCAAGAACGAAAGUUAGGGGAUCGAAGACGAUCAGAUACCGUCGUAGUCUUAACCAUAAACUAUGCCGACUAGGGAUCGGAUGAUGUUAAUUUUUUAAUGACUCA